UAAAUGUUUCAUGUUUUUUUAGUGUCUAACUGGGAGAUAAACAAUGUAUGACUUUCAGCAUUUGGCUUCUCUACAUAAGUGCAAUAGGCCUCUACAAUAUCAUCCAUUGGGACCACCAUGUCUAUCGAGCCCUCUCACCAUACUACAUGAUGCACGUUUUGUUUAUAGCCUUCAGUGUUUAUUUUCUGAUCCCUAGUUAGUCCAAUUCUACUAAUUCCUACUUUCAUGGCUCUACAGCAGCAACAACCGAUCGCCAGCUCCUCUCCUCGUGCCUCCGCGCCGCUGCUCCUGCCGUUUAGACCAAUUUUUUCGCUGGCAAUAUAGUUGUAUGGAUGGUUGAUGCGUGGCGGAGGUGGAGGCGGUUGUGGGGAAGCCCGUGGGAAGAAUCUUCCCUGGUUUUGGAAGAGAUCUGGAGAAUUAGUUACAAAGUUUGGUUUGAAUGCUGAGAAUGAGAUAAUACACACCCUUGCAUUUUUAGCUGGUGCCAUGGUUUGGUCAUAGGUACUAAUGAGAUCUAAUGAGAUAACCACCGUCUUGGUUUUGUAUAUUGUUAGCUGUGAUCUAAUGAGAUUAAUAUUUUUCAGAAAUGAAGAAAUACCCGUUUUGAGCUAUAUAAUUUUGAAUUUCAAUGGGAUUUCGCAAAACUAAAAACUAGGUUGUGCUUCCUUUAAUUUAAACUACAUACUUGAUUAUCCAUAUUUUCAUAUGAUUUGUUUGUGCUUUGACACUAUUAUGUAAAUAAAUUAACCUCAAAAAAUAUAUUUGCUAAGAUCAACAUCAUUUUACCUA